CCUACGGGAGGCAGCAGUAGGGAAUAUUGGACAAUGGGCGCAAGCCUGAUCCAGCCAUCCCGCGUGCAGGAUGAAGGUCCUAUGGAUUGUAAACUGCUUUUAUCAGGGAAGAAACCUUGGGAUUCAUCCCAAGUUGACGGUACCUGAGGAAUAAGCACCGGCUAACUCCGUGCCAGCAGCCGCGGUAAUACGGAGGGUGCAAGCGUUAUCCGGAUUUACUGGGUUUAAACGGGUGCGUAGGUGGUCUUGUAAGUCAGCGGUGAAAGCUCGGAGCUCAACUCCGAAAUUGCCAUUGAUACUGCAAGGCUUGAGUACAGUUGAGGUAGGCGGAAUAUGUCAUGUAGCGGUGAAAUGCUUAGAUAUGACAUAGAACACCAAUUGCGAAGGCAGCUUGCUAAACUGAAACUGACACUGAGGCACGAAAGCGUGGGGAUCAAACAGGAUUAGAUACCCUGGUAGUCCACGCCCUAAACCGAUGCUAACUCGUAUUUGGCGUAUAUACAGUACGAGAGUACCGAACGGAAACCGG
rnacentral:rRNA from 1 species